rnacentral:misc_RNA from 1 species
GUGUAGCAGUCCACAUGCUUAACCUGUAAACAAUAAUCAACUUCAUGUUUUUAACUACAUUUCAUGUUUUGCAGGGGGAAUUCAAGAUACAACCUUCAGAAACACCAAGGUUUAGAAACUCGUUCAGACAUCUCAACACAGUGGGGACACACACAACAGUUUGUAUCAGGGCAACAUCCACAAUUCAUGCAGAAGUAUCUUUCAAGCAGUCAAAUAUAAUAGAAUGAGGUGGAUUAAAGUAAAUUUUUUAUUACAACCAAAGUACUAAUAUAAUAAUAUCAAGGGUGCUGAUCAUGGAUAUUAAAGGUGCAGUAAGCCACAAAAAGGUCCAGGAGUUUAGGUGCAACUGCAAGGCACAUGUGCACACCUCAGAGGGUCAGGUGCAAAAAUAGAAUGCAAGAAAAAUUCAAAACUAAGACCCAAUAUUCAUAACAUAUUCAAUAUAUUAGCAUUAAUUGAGCCAAUUGACCAAAGUUAACAAUCUUAAAGCAUCAACUCAAAUUUAACAAUCUAAGCCUGAGGAAAAAGCACAGAAAACAAACAUAGACUUGAACAAAAACAUCAAUCUUUUUCAUCACUUGUUCUAAUGACAAAAUGUUGAGAACUCUAAAACAUAGUGUUAUUAACAAUGACUAGUGUGAUCUUUAAAACUAUUUUCCCAGACUAUAACAAAAGUAGUGCGUAUACAGAUUUUUUUAGGACAAAUAUUUGUUAUAUUUUAAGACAAAAACUUGUAGUCUUUUCUUGUCUAGGCAAGAUGUUUGUUAGUAUUGUUGGAAAAGAGAGGGGAGAGAAGAGGAGGGAAGGUUGUG